GACGAACGCGGCGGCGUGCUUAACACAUGCAAGUCGAACGAAGAGCGACGGAAGCUUGCUUCUAUCAAUCUUAGUGGCGAACGGGUGAGUAACGCGUAAUCAACCUGCCCUUCAGAGGGGGACAACAGUUGGAAACGACUGCUAAUACCGCAUACGAUCUAAUCUCGGCAUCGAGGAUAGAUGAAAGGUGGCCUCUACAUGUAAGCUAUCACUGAAGGAGGGGAUUGCGUCUGAUUAGCUAGUUGGAGGGGUAACGGCCCACCAAGGCGAUGAUCAGUAGCCGGUCUGAGAGGAUGAACGGCCACAUUGGGACUGAGACACGGCCCAGACUCCUACGGGAGGCAGCAGUGGGGAAUCUUCCGCAAUGGACGAAAGUCUGACGGAGCAACGCCGCGUGAGUGAUGACGGCCUUCGGGUUGUAAAGCUCUGUUAAUCGGGACGAAAGGCCUUCUUGCGAAUAGUGAGAAGGAUUGACGGUACCGGAAUAGAAAGCCCGCA
rnacentral:rRNA from 1 species